CUAACUGGAGAGUUGAGCAGUGUAUAGGAGUGAGGGGGCAAUCGGAGGGAAAAGGUGAUUAAUUCUUUGUUUUUAUUUAUUUAUUUUUAAAGAUUUUAUCCAUUUAGGAGAGAGUGGGCAAGCAGGGGGAGUGGGGAGAGGGAGAAACAGACUCCUGCUGAGCAGGCCCUAAGAUCAUGACCUGGUGGAAGGCAGCAGCUUAACUGAGCCAUCCAGGCAUCCAGAUUAAUUAUUUUUUUUUCAGAUUAAUUAUUUUUAUAUGAUGAUGAAUUUGAAAACAUAGGGUGGAAAUGCAUUGUGAAUACUUCAAGAUACAGAAGUACCUGUGCCUUCUCCGCAGUGUCACAGUGUCAGUUACCCGAGGUCCCACAUCGGUCUGGAAGCAGGAGACCCUCCUCCUGAGUACCUAUUGGUCUGAAGGUCAGUUGCAGCCUCAUGCUGGGUCACAGCGCCUGUGUCAUUCCUCGCACUUUGGCUCAUCAGAUAGGCAUUUUAUCAGCUCACACCAUCACAAGAAGGAUGCAAGCAAAGCCGGCACAGCGGGAGGAAGCCAUCAUGCAAAGAAAUGCAGAUGCUCGCAGCUGGAGUCAAAUCUGCUGUGCACUGACUGUGGUGGGGCAAAGGAGAUGAGCUAGGGUACCAACAACACCUGCCGCCUUGGGGGAACUGAAAUUCCUGCCCUCUUGGAGCUUACAGUUCAAUGAGACAAAUAUAAACAAAUAUAUGUAGUACACAGCCAGGUAGUGGCUGCGUAAGGGGGUGGAGGGGGAUGAGGGCUGCUGCAUUAGCUCCGGUGGUCAGGGCAGGCAUCUCUCGGAGGAGAUGACAUUUCAGCUGAGACCUGAACGAAGUGAGACACAGACCAUCUGAAGGCUGGUUGAAUGGGGAAUGGGGAACAGCACUGGAAUCAGGGCUGUGGGAACAGCAAGUGCUAAGAGGCCAACUGGGAAUAACCUUGGAAAGCUAGAGGACCUGCGGGAGGUCUUGGGUAGCUGUGGCACUGCAAACAAGGCAGAGAGUAGGAAAGGACAGAAAUACAGCCAGAAGUCGCUCACACCUUGUUUCUGGGCAUCCAAACCCAGCCCUCAAACAUCCGUUCAUUCCACUUAUCAGUUCUAGCACUGGUCUGGUUCGGGUGCUGGGUGUGCAGCAGUGAACCGUGUAAUGAAAGCCCUGAGCUCACAGGGUGUUCAUUCUGAUAGGGGAUGAGUAAGCAGCGUAAAUACGUACUAUAGGUUAUUAAUAUGUAACUUGUUUUAGAAAAUGAUCGAUGCUUUAGACUAGAGAAAAGUGAAGUAGGCACACAGAGUCCAAGAGGGCAAGGAGGCGCUUAGAAAUUUCAAGGAGAGGAGUGAGGAUGGCUUCUUGAAGGGGCUGACAACACUCAGCACCUCUCAGCCUGGCUAGCUCCCAAAGCCCCCUUCACACCCCCACAGCAUGUACCCAGGGAUCCUGCAGCCUGGGAAGGAGGGCACGACUGGAUCUCCAGAGGACAGAAAAGAGAGCAGGGAUCCCGGAGUGGAGGGCUGGGUUUUGUGGGCAUCAGCUGGUCCAGACCCAUAACCUGGGAAGAGAAGGAGGAGUCAGGGUGGGGGCAGGGGAGGGAGGGGGGCUGGGUCUGCCGAGUCACAGGGGGAUAUUGAUGAGUUUUCUGGCAAGAAGUGAUGGAGCCGGUAGGGAUGGUGUAAUGAAGACGGAUGAUCUCAGGCCAGCUCUGCUCAUCUUCCUGCUGGAGGGAGAGUCACAACCGGGUGCGUGGUGGGGGAGGGCUUGCCCGGGGCCUGGGCGCCCUCUACUCUGGUACCCCCAUCUCUGGCCUUCUCCCCUGCCAUCUGUCCCUCCUCCAUGCUGCUAUCAUAGGACCCCAGAGGAAAAGGAAUGAAAUCCCCCCCAUUGUAUCUUUCUUCCUAAUUGUGGUAAAAUAUACAUCACAUAAAAUUUACCACUAGUGACAUUUAGUAUACUCACAAGAUUGUGCACCGUUGCUACUAUUUAGUUCCAGAAAUUUCAUCUCUGCAGAAGGAAGCUCCAUAUUCAUUAACAGUUACUUCCCCCUCCCCCUCAGACCCUGGCAAGGAUUAAUCUGCUUCCUCUGUCUAUGGAUUUGCCUAUCCUGAACAUUUCCGCUAAGUGAAAGCAUACAAUAUUUGACUUCUUAUGUCUGGCUUCUUUCACUGAAUGAUGGUUUCAAGGUUCAUAUGUGUUAUCGCAUGUAUUUGUGCCUCAUCCCGUUUUCUGGCUGAAUAAUAUUCCACUGCAUGGUUAUACCACAUUUUGUUCAUCCAUUCAUCCGUUGACGGACACUUGGGUGGUUUAGGCACUGAAUUUUUAAGAAGAUUUUAUUUAUUUAUUUAUUUAUUCAUGAGAGACAGAGAGAGAGAGGGGCAGAGACAUAGGCAGAAGGAGAAGCAGGCUCUACGCAGGGAGCUCAAUGCAGGACUCCAUCCCCGGACCCCAGGAUCAUGACCUGAGCCGAAAGCAGACGCUCAACCGCUGAGCCACCCAGGCGUCCCGAGGCACUGAAUUCUGAAACAGAAGUCCAUCAUUGCACCCCAUGCCACUUCCACCUCUGUGGCCAUUGGCCCCAUGUAAUGCCUUUGAGCCUUGACAAUUCUACCCCUGUACAGUGAAAUCAUCAUCUCUAGUGCCCUUUCAGAGCAUAAGAAAAAUUGGAAACUGCCUCUCAUCUCUCUCUUUCUGUACUCUACUCUCUUCCCAUUUGCUAUUGAAUUUGGGAUAGAUGCCUGGGUGGCUCAGCAGUUGAGCAUAUGCCUUUGGCUCAGGGUGUGAUCCCGGAAUUCCAGGAUCCAGUCCACAUUGGGCUCCCCACAGGGAGCCUGCUUCUCCCUCUGCCUCUCUCUCUCUCUCUCUCUCGCUCGCUCUCUCCUCUGUGUGUGUCUCUCAUGAACAAAUAAAUAAAAUCUUAAGAAAAAGUGACA
ensembl:lncRNA